AUACGGAGGGUCCGAGCGUUAUCCGGAAUCAUUGGGUUUCAAGGGUCCGCAGGCGGUCAAUUAAGUCAGAGGUGAAAGCCCAUCGCUCAACGAUGGAACUGCCUUUGAUACUGGUUGACUUGAGUUAUACGGAAGUAGAUAGAAUAAGUAGUGUAGCGGUGAAAUGCAUAGAUAUUACUUAGAAUACCGAUUGCGAAGGCAGUCUACUACGUAUAUACUGACGCUGAGGGACGAAAGCGUGGGGAGCGAACAGGAUUAGAAACCCCAGUAGUCC
rnacentral:rRNA from 1 species